UGCUGCCGGUGCGCGCCGGACAGUCGUCCCCGGGGAACUUAUCCCAGGGAAUCCAACGCUUCUUUGCGGAAAUCAAGCUGUCGAAACAAAUUAGGCUGGAAAAAAAAACAACUGGUGACAGAUCUGCGUGCGGAGAGAUAGUGAACUGAAAGCUGUAUAAGAAGGCAAGUCUCUCAUCUGAACGCUGUUUUAACCUCCUCCAACAACCUGGCUGUCACAAUGGAAUGAAGCAAGAAAACCAUCUUUCCUGCACAUAAGUUGAAGAGGCACCUAUGCUGGUGUAAAACCUGUGCCAUAAACAAAAUCCCUGACUCUGGUAUAGCACCUGUUGUUUAAACAGAGGGCCGACUACACCACUGCUCCUGCUGCUCCUCACGCCAGCCGCCUCAAGCUGUAUUUCUCUGAGGAAGACCGACUGAAAGCUGGGAGCAGACUCCAGUGUGUUCCUGUGCCUAUUAAGAGUCAGUCAAAUUUAAUAAACCAAUAAAACCAGUGGGAAACAGAAAAAUGUAGGUGCAGUUGUUUGUUCCCCACAACCUUUCCUAAACAGGUCUAAAAAUGUCUAUAAGGCGAGCCCUGCCUCA